rnacentral:rRNA from 1 species
UACGAAGGGGGCUAGCGUUGCUCGGAAUCACUGGGCGUAAAGCGCACGUAGGCGGUUUGCUAAGUCAGGGGUGAAAUCCUGGAGCUCAACUCCAGAACUGCCUUUGAUACUGGCGGACUUGAGUCCGGGAGAGGUGAGUGGAACUGCGAGUGUAGAGGUGAAAUUCGUAGAUAUUCGGAGGAACACCAGUGGCGAAGGCGGCUCACUGGUCCAUUACUGACGCUGAGGUGCGAAAGCGUGGGGAGCAAACAGG